ACCGCGGCGACUUGGCGGCGGGUGCCAUGCGUCUGGAGCUUCACAUUCUCUGCCCCCCACCCACCGCGCCGGCGCUCCCUUGUCACGCCUCGGGAAGCGCGCACCUGCCAAGCAGUAGAGAUGGGGUUUCACCAUGUUGCCCAGGCUGGUCUCAAACUCCUGAGCUCAGGCCAUCUGCCCGCCUCGGCCUCCCAAAGUGCUAGGAUUACAGAAGGUGCCUGCUUCCCCUUCACCUUCCACCAUGAUUGUAAGUUUCCUGAGGCCUCCCCAGACAUGUGGAACUAUUUCUGACUUCAUAUCUGUGGGAUCCACACAAUGGGGAGGUACUGGCCUUGGAAUCCAUGGUUCCCCAGCUAUCAUUUUACUUUAGAAUUACAGUGUUCUCUGUUAGUGUCAAGGGAAUGAACCUGACGAGAAAAGACCAAACAUAGGACUGUUACAGGGAAGAAAAAUAUGAAAAGACCUAAAGAUGCACGUCCUCAUUAUAUGUAAGGAAUCUAUUUCCUAGAAUCCUAUAAAAAGCUCAAGUGAAUUUGCUUCAGUUAAUAAAUGUGAUUUAAUUAUAAUGAUAAUGCCA
rnacentral:lncRNA from 1 species